GGCGAACGCUGGCGGCGUGCUUAACACAUGCAAGUCGAACGGUAAGGCCCUUCGGGGUACACGAGUGGCGAACGGGUGAGUAACACGUGGGUGAUCUGCCCUGCACUUCGGGAUAAGCCUGGGAAACUGGGUCUAAUACCGGAUAGGACCACUGCCUGCAUGGGUGGUGGUGGAAAGCUUUUGCGGUGUGGGAUGGGCCCGCGGCCUAUCAGCGUGUUGGUGGGGUGAUGGCCUACCAAGGCGACGACGGGUAGCCGGCCUGAGAGGGUGACCGGCCACACUGGGACUGAGAUACGGCCCAGACUCCUACGGGAGGCAGCAGUGGGGAAUAUUGCACAAUGGGCGCAAGCCUGAUGCAGCGACGCCGCGUGAGGGAUGACGGCCUUCGGGUUGUAAACCUCUUUCAGCACCGACGAAGCGCAAGUGACGGUAGGUGCAGAAGAAGGACCGGCCAACUACGUGCCAGCAGCCGCAGUAA
rnacentral:rRNA from 1 species